rnacentral:rRNA from 1 species
UACGUAGGGUGCAAGCGUUAAUCGGAAUACUGGGCGUAAAGCGUGCGCAGGCGGUGAUGUAAGACAGAUGUGAAAUCCCCGGGCUCAACCUGGGAACUGCAUUUGUGACUGCAUCGCUGGAGUGCGGCAGAGGGGGAUGGAAUUCCGCGUGUAGCAGUGAAAUGCGUAGAUAUGCGGAGGAACACCGAUGGCGAAGGCAAUCCCCUCG